rnacentral:tRNA from 1 species
AGUUCUAUAGUUUAAUAUAAAAUUUUAAAUUGCAAAUUUAAAGAUAAACUUAAGUUUUAGAAUUU